GUAAAGCUUAGAAAGGGACACAAACUAUGGCGUCUUGGCUCAUGAAGUGAGAGAGGGGAUGCUGUGCUAUUGGGCUGCAGCCAAGAGUCUGAGAGAGUCUGUGUUAUGUGAGAUUUGAGAGACAGUUCUGGGGAGUGUGGGAGCAGCGCAAAGGAAAUGCGAGGGUGCUUUUCCUUUCAGGGGCCUUUGUGCAGCAGCAGAUGUUGAUGCCCUAGAAGCACGGUGCGGAGCACAUCCUGGGAUCAAGGUGCCACGGACUGGAAAAUGCUGCUGUGGCGGAGUUCCUGUGUGAAGACAAAACUCCCAGUCCCCCAGAAAUGUGGAGGCAGAAGAGCAGUGACAAGGCAUUGUGAUCAACUUAAAAAAGGAACGCAUGAAGAAUAG
rnacentral:lncRNA from 7 species